AGUGAACGCUGGCGGUAGGCCUAACACAUGCAAGUCGAACGGCAGCACAGUAAGAGCUUGCUCUUACGGGUGGCGAGUGGCGGACGGGUGAGGAAUACAUCGGAAUCUACUUUUUCGUGGGGGAUAACGUAGGGAAACUUACGCUAAUACCGCAUACGACCUACGGGUGAAAGCAGGGGAUCUUCGGACCUUGCGCGAUUGAAUGAGCCGAUGUCGGAUUAGCUAGCUGGCGGGGUAAAGGCCCACCAAGGCGACGAUCCGUAGCUGGUCUGAGAGGAUGACAACCCACAGUGGAACUGAACAGCGGCCCAGCCCCAGAGGGGGGCAGGGGGGGGGAAGUAUUGAAAAAUGGGCGCAGGCUUGAUCCACCCAUCCGGGGGGGGGAAAGAGGCCUUUGGGUUGUAAAACCUUUUUUUUGGGAAAAAAAAAAAAGGAGUUAAAUACCCCGUUUUUCGGAGGUCCCCAAAAAAAAAGCCCCGGCCAAACUUGGUC
rnacentral:rRNA from 1 species